rnacentral:misc_RNA from 1 species
ACUAUCCUCAUAAAAAAUUCAUUCCCCAUAUAUACCAAUUCCCCUAAAACUAUAUAAAACACCCCCAAAAUCAAUACCACACUAAACAAUAAAUUUUUAAUUAUAUUUUCCCCAUAACAACCCAGCCAAAAAACCCUUUUAAAAAAUUGUUAAAAUAUCAUUUCGUUGCCUCUUCUUCCCUACUGACCCGCAUGCAAAAAUAUUGAUCGUUAGCAAAAGGAAAAAAAAAAAAAAAGCUCACAAAACAAACUCCAAUAUUAUUUGCGCUAGUUGAGCCAACAUGGCCGCUACAACCCCUACCUGGGACGAGUUGUCUUAUAAAUUUUAAUAAUUAAAAUAGUUAUCAUAAAAAAUUCCAAACAAUAUUACAAACUCCCUCUAAACAAAAGUAAAUUAUUUCUAACAUUUCCACAGUCUAUUGAACUGUAUAAAUUAAAAAACUUAAAUUGCGCAAGUUCAUUAUUAAAAUCAUAUGUGUAAAAAAUUUGCAAUUUUAAUUUUAAUACUUAUAUGCCACGUGUGUUCUCAAUCAUUGUAUCGAUUGUCUUGAGGACGACGACAACGACAACGACGACGACAAAGUGGCGGCGCAACGGGAGUAGAACAAGACAAAGAAAAUAUAUAUACAACCCCUAUUGUAUCAUCAUGAAAGACUGAUUAUUAUCUUUGCAUAAGUGUGUUCAUGUCUAUGUAUAUAUUGAAAUCAAAUAUACAUAUACAUAAUAUUUUUAUAUGAUGAAGGGGUGGAUAAAUAGGUGAACUGCACAGUGAGAGCAACCUCCGUGAUAGAGUUGUUCACUACAUGUUGCAACAUUGUAAUAUCAUACUCAAUAAUUUAUAGAACAUCUACUUUUUUUUUUCUUAAUUAAAAUUAAUAAUUUAAAUUAAAUUUAUACCAUGUCUUAUGUAAUACAGAAGUAUUUCUUACGACAAAAAAAUACGUGAAUAUAAUGCAACUAGUGUUUUCGUGAGUGUCAGUUGAAAGAAAAAAAAUAUGACGUGACUUAAAAGUGUAAUAAUAUUCAUCAAUCAGUGAGACUGUUAGUAAUCAACAUGUUAGUGAUUAAGAUUAUGUAUUAAGCAACAAUUUCAUGAAUGAAAUUAUUUAUUAAAAUAUUAUUCAAGGAUAUUAUGAAGAACAAAUCCAACAGGUGGACAGUUGUAUUUGGCUGCAGUGAGCAAGUAUCUACAACGACAACAACUACGUAUAUGAAAAAUAAAAUAAAAAAAAAAAAAAGGUCAAUAAUCCGUGUUUGAGAGGAAUAUUGAUGGAGAUAUGAGUCGAUAGAAGGCCUUGGCCAAGACAGUUGCGUCGAAUCGAUCGACAGUUUGUGAUCAGAUCUGGUCGUAGAAACACACGCAAUAUUUAUUCUCCAAAGACCAUGUGUUAUUUAUUUAUUGAAUUUAUCAUCUUAUCAAUAAUCAAUAAUAAAUCAAUUUAUACAACGCCAUUUAAAUGAAAAUAAAUUAAUAAAUUUCAAACAACAAUAAUGAUUAAAGGAAUAAAAUUUAUCUGAUAUUUGCCAAAAAAAUAUAUCAAAUUUAUCUUUUUAUUAUUUGGCUAAACAUAAGAAUAAAAUUUAAUUAUUUUUUUUUGAAGACACGUGAAAUCAUCGUCAUACAGUGACAAAAAAAAAGAAAAAAUAAAUCACGUUAAUUUUGAUUAAACAUAAAUAGCAGCAACACGUCGUCAGGAUACCAAUAAAUUAAAACAAGAUAAGAAUUCUGGAGCCCGAGUGUUUUUAUCAUUUGAAGGGCUUAACGAAAAGUAUAAAAAAGCGAGGUAAAAAAUUAUCUGUGUAAGAACGUUAUCAGUGUUUAAAAAGAUUUUUAACAAAUUGACUUGAAAAAAAAAUUUUUUGAUACUACUUGUGAACAAGUGUUUAGAUAUUAAUUAAUAAGUGGAGGAAUAAUAUAGUAACUAAUUUAAAAAAAAUUGUUUUUAAAAAUAUAUAAAAUUUGUUUUGUUUGUAAUUAUCAGAUGAAUGAUAAAGUGAUAAAUUAAUACAAUGAAAAUGAUCAAUAAUCAACCAAGAGUUAUUUUGAGUACUAGUGAAACAAAUGAACAUCAUCAUGCACCAGUAUCAACAAAACCAUCAGUUGUAUCAGUAUCAAGUAUUGACUCUGAUGUGUCUGAUAGAAGAGACGUCAGAGAGGCACUUUAUUCAGGAAUAUUUCGAAGACAUAGAAAAACAAUUCUUGUACUUGGAAGUUUCCUCAAAAUGUUGAGGGUGAAUAGAAAUGUUAACAACUACGCUAGCAUUAAGGCGAAUGAUGAAAUUGAUGAAUAAUAUCUAAGAUACAUUUUUUUUUUUUUUUUAUAAUUCAAUUGUUUUAAAAACCUUCGCCUCGAGUUUAUGUAAUUGACAUUGUAAUUUAAUGUUAAUUUGCACAGCCUAAAUUCAAACCAUGACACUACUUCUCUGAUGCAUCAUUUUUAAUUUUUUUGCUUAACACACCAAUAUCACGUUAUUUAUUAAAAAAUAAUUUAUUAUUUGUUUUUUUGAUUAAUUGCUUAUUUUUUUUUUAUUAUUUUUAAUUUAGAAUUUAUUGUCACAUUUUUUUAUUUUUCAGAGAAACGUGAACAAAUUGCAUGACUUGAGCCAAAUAUUCGCCUUGUACGCUCUAAGACUUGAUAUUGUCAUUGGACCAAAAUUUUUUUAAACCCUUUAACAAAUAUUAUUUAUAAUUAUUCAUAAAUAUUAUUUUGUUAUUUUUUAUUUUGCACGUUUUCACUCUAUGCUUAAUCAUUUUACACACGUAUUUUUUAAUUCACUACUAAAAAAAUUUAGAAAGCACUUUUUGCUUGUUUUUUAAAAAAAAAAAAAAAAAUACGUAGAAAUAAUUUGAAAGUGUAAUUAUGAUUAGAAACAAAAAAAAUAUAUAUAGUUAAUUAAAAUAUUAAAAAUAUAGCAUUGUUAUAAACAACAGAUAUUAUUGUUUUAUGUAGAGAAUAUUUAAGAAAAAUUUAUCUGCUGUUCUACUCUUUUACCGAGCUUAAUAAAAAAAAAAAAAUUCUAGAAUUUAUAUUUUAAGUGAAUUUAAUUGUAAAAAAAAUAAGAUAAAAGAAAAUAAUAUGAUAAUGAUUAAUGCAAAUAUCAAACGCAAUGCCUUAUUUGUCAAUAUUGAUAUUCAAGGCCGUAAAGAUCGAAUCGGUCUAUUAUUUUUUCUCCAUUAUAAAUUAAACUAAAUUGUGAAAAAAUAAAAAAAUCGAUGAAACUCAAUUACGGUUUAAUUUUUUUCGUUUUUUUUUUUAAAUUCAAUUUUUAAUCUUUAAAUAAUUCUAUUGAAUUUAAGUAUAUAUUGAUGCGUCAUCCUGUCACGAAAUAAAAAAACUGCCAGUAGACGACUAAUAAAUUAUUAAAAAUAAACUGUCAACUAAUUAACGCAAAUAUUAUUAUUACAAUUAAUAAUUGAGUAACCAUGUACAAUCACUAACUUUGUGCUAUAAAAAAUAAAUGUAGAGAUAAAAAUUAAAAAGAAAAAAAAAAAACGAGAAAAAGAAAGAUCGAAUGAAAGAGGGAGUGUUUGCGUGUAUGUAUGUGUAUGAUAUUAAAAUGAAAAACAAUUAAAGAAAUAAAAAAUAUUAAUUAAUAAUAAUAACAGUUGGAAUUAAGAUGGGUUGAUGUGAAAUUAAAAGACUCAAAAAGUAAAUUGUACGCUUAAUCACAAUUGACCUUCUCAACUAAUAAAUAAAAACACGCGGGUUCAUCUAGAUUAUUUCAAUUGGAUGAUGACAACAGCUUCAAAAGAUUUAAAUAAACAUUAGUAAGUUAAUAACCAAGUCCGAUUAUUGAAAAAUAAAAAUAUAUAAUAUAAAACAAAGUUUAACAAUGGCCUGCUGGUUAGAGCUUUUUACGAUCUUCCUUCGAUACAAAAAAAAAAAAAACCAAAGAUAUCGUAUUAAAAAUUAAAAUAUAAUGUCACUAAGUAGAAAAAAAUUUCGCCUUCACUGAGUAAUCUAAAUUGCUUGACCAACAUAAUUUUUAGAAUCAUUUUUCUUUUUUUUUUUCAAUCAAACAAACUGAGCAAUAAACAUUGCAUACUGUGUAAUUUUUAUUAUUUUUUUUCAUUUAAAAUGUGUUAGAUAUAUCAAGUAGCAUUGCAUCAUCA